AAGUUUUAUAAAUGAGCCUUAAGCCCUAUUCGGACGGGAUUAGUUUUAUGUGGUGACGCGGGGUAAAGUAAUUAUUACCAGGGAAUUUAGUCCCGUCCGAACGCACCGUGUCAGUAAAAAACACGGAGUAUGUCAGUAAACUUUACAGCGACUUUUACCUUCU